UUAACGCGAAGAACCUUACCAGGACUUGACAUGGGGAGGCUGUGUCCAGAGAUGGGCAUUUCCCGCAAGGGACCUCCUGCACAGGUGCUGCAUGGCUGUCGUCAGCUCGUGUCGUGAGAUGUUGGGUUAAGUCCCGCAACGAGCGCAACCCUCGCCUUUAGUUGCCAGCAUGUUUGGGUGGGCACUCUAGAGGAACUGCCGGUGACAAGCCGGAGGAAGGUGGGGAUGACGUCAAGUCCUCAUGGCCCUUAUGUCCUGGGCUACACACGUGCUACAAUGGCGGUGACAGUGGGAAGCUAUGUGGCGACACAAUGCUGAUCUCUAAAAGCCGUCUCAGUUCGGAUUGCACUCUGCAACUCGAGUGCAUGAAGGUGGAAUCGGUAGUAAUCGCGGAUCAGCAUGCCGCGGGAUACGACGU
rnacentral:rRNA from 1 species